CGGGCGGGUUCUCGGGGUCCAAAUUGAUUCACGCCAUUGUCAAAUCGUGUCAGGGUUCAGAAAUGCUCAAGUUGAGAGGUGACAGUGACUCAGUAAGAGUAAGGUGCUUCUGUUCCUCGUGUAGCUGCUGAGUCCUGAAGCAAGCGAUAUGUAUUCGACUUCUGGUUACAGUUCCGCGGAGCAGCAGCAACCGGAGAGCAAAAUGUCACUCCUUGCACGGAUUUCGACAUUGCAUACUUUCAUUCCUAUGCUCACGUUGGUAUACACGAAGAGAUUAUCAAGGAUUGUGUACGAACAGAUACUUAUGGGGCUGCAAUCAUGCAACUAAAAAGUUACAUUGAAGGCAAAGUAAUAUCAUGGUUGUUGAAAUUCAGUCAGGAAAUGCUCUAUGAUCUUUUUUCUGAUAAAUUAUUGUUGAGGGACUUUUGAAUCCACAUAAACACUAUGCUAUGGCACUAGCCUUUGUUGAGUGUAAAUAGAACUGCUUCUAUUUUUAAUCCUGAAAUGACAGAAGUCUGAAUGUUUGAUAAGUUUUAUGAUGUCACAUAUUAUUUCAUCACUGGACGAAAUGUAUAUGUCGUAUUGUGAUGUGAAAACACAACCAUGGAACUUCAAUUUUUUUUAUUUUUUUUCUGUUGAACAUCAAUGAUCUGCUGAAUUCUAAGAAUGGUUUAGGCAAAAAAUUUCUUAUCUAAAUUUAAUCCUAAUGCUCACAUAUGAAUAUAUGUUCAGGUUGUUGUGUAUGUUGGCUGUGGCACAGGAAUUCUUUCUAGCUCAUAUUUUUAGAAGGUUCUAUAUUAUAUUUGACAAACUUUGUUAUGGGGUUCAUGGGCCAAAUAUAUUGUUCCUGGAGUAUUACAUGCCAUGUCACUGCUGUUUCUUGCAAUUUUGGUACAAUUAUUUCUUUGAAGUGCAAUAGCCUGUUCUAAAAAUGAAUCCAUGAGGUUUUGAAUUUCCAUGCUGUGAAGCCUUGGAAUCAAUUCAAUUGUUUCCAACAUUUUUUUCCUCUGAAAAUUGUCCUAUGUUGGGAGUGGACUAUCUAUCUUGUGCGGCCCAAGGCCCAAAUAAUAAGCCCUCCUAAGUCCGAAUGGUCCUUUGAUUCUUUCAUCACAUGCCAAAGUAAAAAAAGAAAAAAGGAAAAAGAAAAAUAAAGGGUAGAAGAAUGAACCUUUGAUUCUUUCCUUACAUGUGAAAGUUUGACACUUGCCUUUUUUUUCCUUAGUUCUUUUUUGAAGGAGAUAUUUUCAUAGAUGUCUAUGCAUAUUUCUGUUUAUACGCUUGCAUUAUUUUGACUGUAAUUGUGGAUCAUGCUUGAAAUGAUAUUGUUUGGCCAGGUAUAUGCAGUGGAUGCAAGUGAUACAAGUACUAUGCCAUUGAGAUUCUUAUUAAUUUUCAUAUGACUUUUAUAUAAAAUCUGGGUGAAGGUUUGGGUUUGAAUUGAUCUUGCUAUUUGUUUAAGCAGGCAAAUGAAGUUGUGAAGGCAAGCAACUUAUCUGAGAAGAUCAUUGUAUUACGUGGACGAGUUGAGGAUGUUGAAAUAGACGAGGGAGUUGAUGCUAUAAUUUCAGAGUGGAUGGGCUACAUGCUUUUAUACGAGUUAUACAUGGGACCUAUCACACAUUUUGAGAGAUACAAUGGAAGCGUUGAUUUUUGGCACAAUAUUUAUGGAAUUGAUAGUGAGUAUCAUAUGUGAAAUUCUCUAAAACCAUGAAACUAGGUUCCAUUUGUUUUGCUUGUACAUGUCGGCCUUUUCUGCCUGACCCGAUGAAGAGGGGAUUUCUAAGAGAGGGUUAUAGUCCUACCAAUACGUCAUGAAAGGAUUUUGUGGACAGAGCACAGACCUCAGACCAAUCGAUUCAACCAAUUAUUGUAGAUGUGAAUUUGAUACCAACAAGGGACUUUGUUCUCAAUGUUCUUGGUUGUAGUGUCUGCCAUGAUGCCAUUAGCAAAACAAGGUGCAUUUGAACUUUGAAGAACCAACUGUGGAGACAAUAUCGGGUGAGAAUGUUUUGACAUGGCCACUUUGUGGUGAGUCUCCCCAUUUUAACUAUAUGUUGCACUAGUUGCUAAGAAUUUACAUGCACUCUUGUUUGUGGUUUGUUAUGUAUGACUUCUGAUUGUGAAGUUUGUGAAUAUCAAACUUCCUACUGCCCCUUCAUGAUGCAUCCCAACUAAGCAUGCCUGUCUCCCUAUAUGUUUGCCCUGCAUGAAUGGACCUGUGUGCUUCUUAGCACAAAAGAUGGGGGCUUACAAACAAAUAAAAUAUGUAAAUUUUGCAGGAAUUUCUUGAUGUAAAUAAAACUACUUUUGAAUUUAAAGCUUUGAUGAAGCAGAUUUAAGAGGUGAAUAUACAUCAGUUCCUAUAUGGAAAUUAUUUCACUUCGGCUCUAGUGAUUUCUACAGAGUAUGUGUCUAUAGUUUAUGCAUAAAUAGUUCCCUUAUUUCUGUCCCAAGUGUUGUUCCACUUCGAGGCAACUGUGAAAUAUUUAGGAGUUAAAACUUAUACUUGCUCUCAUAGUUAUCAAAGGCUCAAGG
rnacentral:misc_RNA from 1 species